CCUACGGGAGGCAGCAGUGGGGAAUAUUGGACAAUGGGGGAAACCCUUAUCCAGCGACGCCGCGUGAGGGAAGAAGGUUUUCGGAGUGUAAACCUCUGUCAGUGGGGAAGAGAAUGACGGUACCCACGGAGGAAGCCACGGCUAACGACGUGCCAGCAGCCGCGGUAAUACGUAGGGGGCAAGCGUUGUCCGGAAUUACGGGGUGUAAAGGGAGCGUAGGCGGGAUUGCAAGUCAGAAGUGAAAAUUAUGGGCUCAACUCAUAACCUGCUUUUGAAACUGGUAUUCUUGAGUGGAGUAGAGGCAUGCGGAAUUCCUGGUGUAGCGGUGAAAUGCGUAGAUCUUAGGCGGAACUCCAGUUGCGAAGGCGGCUUGCUGGGCUUUUACUGACGCUGAGGCUCGAAAGCGUGGGGAGCAAACAGGAUUAGAUACCCCUGUAGUC
rnacentral:rRNA from 1 species